UACGUAGGGGGCAAGCGUUGUCCGGAAUCAUUGGGCGUAAAGAGCGCGUAGGCGGCUCGAUAAGUCUGCUGUGAAAGUCCAGGGCUCAACCCUGGAAGGCCGGUGGAAACUGUCGGGCUAGAGUCCGGAAGAGGCAAGUGGAAUUCCCGGUGUAGCGGUGAAAUGCGCAGAUAUCGGGAGGAACACCAAUGGCGAAGGCGGCUCGCUGGGACGGUACUGACGCUGAGGCGCGAAAGCGUGGGGAGCAAACGGG
rnacentral:rRNA from 1 species